rnacentral:misc_RNA from 1 species
GUGAAUCAUCGAAUUUUUGAACGCAAAUUGCACUCUCUUCGGUGAGUAUGACUGUUUGAGGGUCAGCCUAUAAAAAUCGACAUAGUUGCUGUUUCGCGGAGGUUUUCGUCGGAAAUUGGGUCAUCUUAAAUCCUUUUGAUUUAAGCGUCUUAAAAUUUUCUUUUGGUUCAAUGAUCGUUUCUAAGAUCUAUUUCUUUAUAGGUUAAAGGUAUCGAUUUUUACUAUACGUGAUAAUUAUAUUGGUGC